UGGGGAAUAUUGGACAAUGGGCGCAAGCCUGAUCCAGCCAUGCCGCGUGGGUGAAGAAGGCCUUCGGGUUGUAAAGCCCUUUUGUUGGGAAAGAAAAGCAGUCGGUUAAUACCCGAUUGUUCUGACGGUACCCAAAGAAUAAGCACCGGCUAACUUCGUGCCAGCAGCCGCGGUAAUACGAAGGGUGCAAGCGUUACUCGGAAUUACUGGGCGUAAAGCGUGCGUAGGUGGUUGUUUAAGUCCGUUGUGAAAGCCCUGGGCUCAACCUGGGAAUUGCAGUGGAUACUGGGCAACUAGAGUGUGGUAGAGGAUGGCGGAAUUCCCGGUGUAGCAGUGAAAUGCGUAGAGAUCGGGAGGAACAUCUGUGGCGAAGGCGGCCAUCUGGACCAACACUGACACUGAGGCACGAAAGCGUGGGGAGCAAACAGG
rnacentral:rRNA from 1 species